UACGUAGGGCGCAAGCGUUGUCCGGAAUUAUUGGGCGUAAAGAGCUCGUAGGCGGUUUGUCGCGUCUGCUGUGAAAACCUAAGGCUCAACCUUGGGCUUGCAGUGGGUACGGGCAGACUAGAGUGCGGUAGGGGUGACUGGAAUUCCUGGUGUAGCGGCGGAAUGCGCAGAUAUCAGGAGGAACACCGAUGGCGCAGGCAGGUCACUGGGCCGCAACUGACGCUGAGGAGCGAAAGCAUGGGGAGCGAACAGG
rnacentral:rRNA from 1 species